CCUACGGGUGGCUGCAGUGAGGAAUAUUGGUCAAUGGGCGAGAGCCUGAACCAGCCAAGUCGCGUGAAGGAUGACUGCCCUAUGGGUUGUAAACCUCUUUUAUAAGGGAAUCAAACGCGCCACGUGUUCCUUUUUGCACGUACUCUAUGAAUAAGCAUCGGCUAACUCCGUGCCAGCAGCCGCGGUAAUACGGAGGAUCCGAGCGUGAUCCGGAUUUAUUUGGGUUAAAGGGAGCGGAGAUGGGUUGUUAAGUCAGUUGUGAAAGUUUGAGGCUCAACCGUUAAAUUGCAAUUGAUACUGGCAGUCUGGAGUACAGGUGAGGUAGGCGGAAUGCGGGGUGUAGCGGUGAAAUGCAUAGAUAUCACGAAGAACCCCGAUUGCGAAGGCAGCUUACUAAACUGUGACUGACAUUGAGGCACGAAAGUGUGGGUAUCAAACAGGAUUAGAUACCCCAGUAGUC
rnacentral:rRNA from 1 species